rnacentral:lncRNA from 1 species
AGUACAUAAACCUGCAUGGAGCUACUGCAUAAUUUUCACGAGCACAUGACAGGAUAAUAAUGGAGCUAAGGCAGAUCUCCAGGGCUUUUUAGCUCUUGCUAAAUUCCUGAAGUUAUUCCAAAUGCAUUCACUGCCUCCAAAAGUUGGUAACUUGUUUAUGUUCAGAACAGGAACCUGGUGGUGUGGUGUAAGGGCCCAGUAUUGUUUUUCUUAAGCAAUGAGGGUACUUCAUAACUGCCAUGUCUGGUCAGAUAAGCUUUUACAGACUCCAAAGUUUCAGAUUUUCCAAUUAGUUUAAAGCCAGGUUGUGUUCCCACAGCUGAAAGUGUUGGAGUUACUGCAGACAGUUCACAGCUAAACAUCCUCCAUUCUGAAAGGUAUCCAACCCAGAUGUGAGAGAAAAACCUUGUUUCUGCUGAAGACAGUGGAAAAUUUCCCAUCAAGGCCAAUAAAGGCUUUAUCAGUUCCUGCAGCACACAUGCUUUCUUAACCCAAUCUCCUCUGACUGCAAAUGAAGUUGAUUCCAUCUGGUUUUACAUUGUUGGAAAUGGGAAACCGUGAAUUAUCUUACUCUGUAACAACCCCUGCAUGUAUAUGAAGACUAUUACUCUACAAUGAAUAAAAUCCAGCAAGAAGCUUCCCUGGCAUUAGUUUGGACCAGUGGUAUUAUUCAGCUCCUGCUGUGGAAAAAGGACCAGUCUCGUUGGCGACCAUUUAAUCCUGAUUUAUUUUCUACCCUAAGUAUCUUUCAGGCCUGCACUGUGUGCUCAUGACUGAACACAGUCACUGAACACACAGUCCUUGGCCACAGUGGAAAGAAGCUGUCUGGAUAACAAAGGAAAUGGAAGAUUUGCUACUAGGCAGAACAGUCACUUCUUGCUCAGCCAGUUGUCCUUAAUGACACCGGAGCGUGCUGUUAGGAUGGAUGCCGCAAUGUUCACGAGGAAGGAGCACUCUAAAAAAGUCAGUGCUCAACUUUUGAUAGCCCUUCCCAAGUAAUUAUCGUGUCAGUGGAUGAAGGGCAAAUAAAAUUUAAAACUUUUCAGGGAAAGGAGGAUAA